AAAGCUGAUGAAGGAUUCUCUGGCCGGAAUCUGUCCAUUGUGCUCCCAUCCCAAAGUGAACCAUUAAUCCAUAUUUUACAAUCAUCAUCGAACUAUUUUGCUCAGCUGCAAUCA